rnacentral:rRNA from 1 species
UAGCAUAAUAAAUUGUUCUUUAAUUGAGAACCGGAAUGAAAGGUCCCACAAUUUAUAAAUAUAUCCAAUCGAAUUAAUGAAUUUUUACUAUAAGUAAAAAUACUUAUAUAAUAUAAAGGGACGAUAAGACCCUAGAAGCUUUACUUUUAACUUUUAUAAAAUAUUUAUAUUUAGUAUUUAUAAAAAUAAAAAGUUUGAUUGGGGAAAUAAAAAUUAUAUAAAUAAUUUGUUAUCAAAAGAACUUACUAAUUUAUGAUCUUAUAAAUAUAAAUAAAUUGAAAUAGUUACUCUAGGGAUAACAGCGUAAUAAUUUUGGGUAGACCAUAUAUAUAAAAUUGAUUACGACCUCGAUGUUGAAUUAAAAUAUCUUUAUAAAGUAGAAAUUAUAUAAGAAAGUUUGUUCAACUUUUAAAUUUUUACAUGAUUUGAGUUCAGACCGGUUUAAGCCAGGUCGGUUUCUAUCUUUUAUAAUAAUGAAAUUCUUUUAGUACGAAAGGACCAAAGAAUUUUAACAUUU